rnacentral:misc_RNA from 1 species
AAGUCGUAACAAGGUUUCCGUAGGUGAACCAUCCAACGUUAAACAACCCUGUGAACUUUCAACACCGCCGGAAUGAGAUUAAUUUCCAACUCCGGUGAAGGCAAGUGACCUGGCACCUGGACCACAUCAAAGCUCUGACAGAGUGCCUCUGGAUCGUGCUUGAAGGGUGACGCAGUAACGAUCGCUGGAGGCCCACACGGCCGGCGACUGGGUCAGCGAGCUAACGCUCCCUCAACAACCACUUAACAUGACGACAGUUCCUCUUUAACUUGAGUUGAGCUAUAACAAAAAACUAUACAACUGUUAACAAUGGAUAUCUUGGUUCUC